UACACACCGCCCGUCACACCACGAAAGUGGUCUUAACCAGAAGCAGAUGAGCUAACUUCGGAGGCAGUCUACCAAGGUUGAGGCCGUGAUUGGGGU
rnacentral:rRNA from 1 species